AUGAUUAAGACAAUGUACUACUUAACAUACCUUGUUUGAAUAAAUACUUAUUUGCUUGCAAUGUUUUGAAUAUCUUUGAUUAUGUGAAACUGCCAAGCUCUUGUCAGUUCUUGUAUGAUGUUUACAAUGAUCUCCUGUCAAUCUUAAGAGGGAGGAAAGAAUCAAGGGAGGAGAUAUGAUAUGCAAUGCCUAGUCAAUGAAUUAUGGAGCAAUACAACAAGAUGAGUAGAAUUUUGAUGGCAAAUAUGACAUGAAUAGCUCAAUUAUUAGAAUGGCAAAGCUUCAUAGUAUAACAUGAUCAUAGAUUAAAAACGCAUAAGUAUGAUGAAGAAGCGAAAGAGCGAGCAUAAAGACGACCAUAGAGAUACAAUAAAGAACAUGAAAAUGAAUUUAGAAUCGUAGAUCACAUUGAAAAAAUAUAACUAUUAAAACUACUCUAUCCAGUAAUUAAACCACUAAAUGCAUCUAUGCAAUCCAAUUGCAACUGCCCUAUUCAGGUAUUAAAAGGAAAAUAGAAGCAAUGAAAUCAAUAAAUUUACAAAAUUGUUGGAUAUGAAAUCAAAGUACCACGAUUACAUUGUGACUAUGCUACCAAGGUCCAAAUUAAAAAUUGGGAUAUAAUCAGUCAUUUUUGCUUUCAAUACCAAUUAAGAUUGUCCAAGUGAUUGAUAUCUUACAAAAGGAACCUACAGCCCCCUCCAAAAAAUGUGCUCAAUCAUUAAUGUUUAAGUGAAAAGAAACCCAAACCAAAUAAGGGAUAGACCCCAACAUAUAUACUGUACAAUAAAUAGAUAUAAAUAAUAGCAACCAUGCUCAAAGAAGCAUAAAUCUAAAUUCCAUGAUCCUUGCGAGAAUGCAAAGCUUGUAGAAGGUUACAGUUUGUGUGGACUUAGCAGAAAUGGAACUUAUAACUACAAUAUAUUCAAUCAAAAAGUGCACUUCACGUUUGUGGAAAAUAAAAAACUAAUGCAAUUGAGCCAAAAUAUAAAAUCACAUUUUUUAAAAUCCAACUCUACCCAUCUUUAUGAAAAUUUGUCUUCAAUAACAUUAUUUGGCUAGAGUCUAGACCAUGAAAAUAGCAUCUUUGUGCAAAUGGAUCCUUAAGAACCACAUAUUUUAAUUUUCAAUAUUUUGUUAGAUCUUAAGCGACCACAAACAAUGUGGAUCAUUUCCUUUGUUGCCUAUACCUUUCGGCCACAAAAUACCGACUAUACUCCAUUAUCUGUACUGAAUCUUUAAAUUUAUAUAUCAUUGAAGCCAUCAAAUGCAAUGGAGUUUUGAAAGAUACAAGGAAUGACUAAUAGAAAAAUGUCACAAAAACAGUUACACUUUUCAAUAUAUAAUCAUAAAUUUGCAAAUAAGAAAAAAUAAAAAACCAUCAGUAGCUUGCCAAACAACAUCACUUUCCAAAACCCUAGAUUCUCACCUCAAAUCCCACUAAAUUUAAACCCCAAAAUCACUUCCCUUAUAAAUUAAUCCCUUAAUCAACACUGUUCUAAACUUCAACAUCAAAAUGAUAGAAGAACACUACAGAUUAUGGUAAAAAAGAAAACAUAUUUCGUUCUAGUUUACUUUAUCAGAGAAUUCUGUUUUUUGGACUUAUUUUGAAGAGCAAUUCGGGUUUAUCCAAGUCUGAAACUCAAUAAGUCAUAAAAUUCUAUGAAUUGUCGAGGAAUUAUAGUCUAAAAAGAACACCUCCAGUACCCAACUAUCAAGUAACCCAACAAUACAUCCAUCGAGAUUUCUAUAUUCAAGAAUUCAAAACCAAGUCCAAGCAUCAUUGAAAAAAUUAUUUCAAAUCUAUAUUUUUAAAAAUGCCAUCUCAUAAGGAAAGAAUAGUAACACCAUAGACAAUGCACAUGAAUUGUUCAACAAAAUGCUUCGGAGAUAUGUUCUCGCCGACUCCUAUUAUUCAAGAAUAUGCACAAAAUGGAUUUGUUGAAUGAUUAGAAAUUGUCAAGAAAAUACAACUGGGACGUGUAAAGCCAAAUUCCGAAAAUUGUGGCAGCAUCCUUUUUGCCUGUGGCAAAAUGCGCUUUGCAAAAGGGUAUGCAAAUACAUCAAAGCAUAAUUGAGGGGGAUUUUCAACAAAUGUUAAAAUUGCAAAUGCCCUUGUAGAAGUAUGCAAAAUUUGCAAGCAUACCUAGACAAAGUAAAGGACGCGUCUAUUCUGGCUCCAAAACGGACCUUUCGUACAGCGUGUUAGUGACAGGUUAGUCAAUCGCAGCCGAUAAUUACAAAAUCGACGGUGUAAAACACGAGACUAACACACGUGUUAGUCAAUCCGUACUGCCGUUUUGGAACCAGAAUAGACACAUCCCUAAAAUUUAUAUUCACACAGCUAGUCCCAAUAUCAGAUUAAGAAUUGGUGAUGUGGCUUCUCCAAUGGCUGCCACUUUCGGUGGUGGAUUUUCUGCUCCUGUUUGUUUGGAUUAUCCUGGCGGACACUAGCAGAUAUAGUCUGGGGAGGUUUGAGAUGGGACCUCUGGUGCAGCUCAGAACAAGUGUGCUGGACGUUGGAACUUUGCCAAAAUAAAGAGCAGACCAAGAGCCAAAUUUGUAGAUGGACAAGAGGAGUUUGAUGCUCUAAUUCUUUCUACUGAAUACGGGUGCAAUAUGCCCUCUUUGCUCAAGAAGAUGGCUUCCCCACAAGUGGAAGGGGCAAAGUGGGCUCUAUACAGUGGGAUUCAUGGAAAAAAGGCUUAUUUUCCUUAUUUAAGAAGAUAAGAAUCACAUCAUCUUCGGUUAUCAUGAAAAAUACAAUAUUUUGAUCAUUGUUAUUUGCAGUA